rnacentral:rRNA from 1 species
CCUACGGGAGGCAGCAGUGGGGAAUAUUGGACAAUGGGCGAAAGCCUGAUCCAGCAAUGCCGCGUGAGUGAUGAAGGCCUUCGGGUCGUAAAGCUCUUUUACCAGGGAUGAUAAUGACAGUACCUGGAGAAUAAGCUCCGGCUAACUCCGUGCCAGCAGCCGCGGUAAUACGGAGGGAGCUAGCGUUGUUCGGAAUUACUGGGCGUAAAGAGUACGUAGGCGGUUAUUCAAGUCAGAGGUGAAAGCCCGGGGCUCAACCCCGGAACUGCCUUUGAAACUAGAUAACUAGAGUCUUGGAGAGGUUAGUGGAAUUCCGAGUGUAGAGGUGAAAUUCGUAGAUAUUCGGAAGAACACCAGUGGCGAAGGCGACUAACUGGACAAGUACUGACGCUGAGGUACGAAAGCGUGGGGAGCAAACAGGAUUAGAUACCCUGGUAGUCCACGCCGUAAACGAUGAUACUAGUUGUUCGUACUACUUGGUGUACUGAGUAGACGCGAGACUACGACAUUAAGUUAUCCGUCCGUCGGGUAGGUACGGUCGCGAGAAGUUAAACGUAACGAAAGUAAGUAGUAGGACGNGUAAGUAGUACGUUCGACGACGACGACGAACGGAGGAGGAG